UACGUAGGGGGCAAGCGUUGUCCGGAAUUAUUGGGCGUAAAGAGCGUGUAGGCGGUCCGGUAAGUCAGCUGUGAAAGUCAAGGGCUCAACCCUUGAAUGCCGGUUGAUACUGUCGGGCUAGAGUCCGGAAGAGGCGAGUGGAAUUCCUGGUGUAGCGGUGGAAUGCGCAGAUAUCAGGAGGAACACCGAUGGCGAAGGCAGCUCGCUGGGACGGUACUGACGCUGAGGCGCGAAAGCGUGGGGAGCGAACAGG
rnacentral:rRNA from 1 species